UCGGCUUUUCUUUCAUUUCCAAGACUAUGUUUUUAUAUAUACACCAAAGUAUGUUUAUAGAAUGUCAUCAAUGGGAACUUGUUUCCUAUAAAAUUAUACAACUUUCAGCAACGGAUCUCUUGGCUCUCGCAUCGAUGAAGAACGCAGCGAAAUGCGAUAAGUAAUGUGAAUUGCAGAAUUCAGUGAAUCAUCGAAUCUUUGAACGCACCUUGCGCUCCUUGGUAUUCCGAGGAGCAUGCCUGUUUGAGUGUCAUUAAAUUCUCAACCUUCCAACUUUUAUUAGCUUGGUUAGGCUUGGAUGUGGGGGUUGCGGGCUUCAUUAAUGAGGUCGGCUCUCCUUAAAUGCAUUAGCGGAACUUUUGUGGACCGUCUAUUGGUGUGAUAAUUAUCUACGCCGUGGAUGUGAAGCAGCUUUAUGAAGUUCUGCUUCUAACCGUCCAUUGACUUGGACAAUUUUUGACAAUUUGACCUCAAAUCAGGUAGGACUACCCGCUGAACUUAAGCAUAUCAAUAAGCGGAGGAAAAGAAACUAACAAGGAUUCCCCUAGUAACUGCGAGUGAAGCGGGAAAAGCUCAAAUUUAAAAUCUGGCAGUCUUUGGCUGUCCGAGUUGUAAUCUAGAGAAG
rnacentral:rRNA from 1 species